GUGGGGGAUAUUGCACAAUGGGGGAAACCCUGAUGCAGCAACGCCGCGUGAGGGAAGAAGGUUUUCGGAUUGUAAACCUCUGUCCUAGGUGAAGAUAAUGACGGUAGCCUGGGAGGAAGCUCCGGCUAACUACGUGCCAGCAGCCGCGGUAAUACGUAGGGAGCGAGCGUUGUCCGGAAUUACUGGGUGUAAAGGGUGCGUAGGCGGCCUUGUGGGUCAGGCGUGAAAUACAUGGGCUUAACCCAUGGACUGCGCUUGAAACUAUAAGGCUUGAGUGAAGUAGAGGCAGGCGGAAUUCCCGGUGUAGCGGUGAAAUGCGUAGAGAUCGGGAGGAACACCAGUGGCGAAGGCGACCUGCUGGGCUUUAACUGACGCUGAGGCACGAAAGCAUGGGUAGCAAACAGGAUUAGAAACCCCUGUAGUCC
rnacentral:rRNA from 1 species